GACGAACGCUGGCGGCGUGCUUAACACAUGCAAGUCGAACGGAAAGGCCCUGCUUUUGUGGGGUGCUCGAGUGGCGAACGGGUGAGUAACACGCGAGUAACCUGCCCUUGACUUUGGGAUAACUUCAGGAAACUGGGGCUAAUACCGGAUAGGAGCUCCUGCUGCAUGGUGGGGGUUGGAAAGUUUCGGCGGUUGGGGAUGGACUCGCGGCUUAUCAGCUUGUUGGUGGGGUAGUGGCUUACCAAGGCUUUGACGGGUAGCCGGCCUGAGAGGGUGACCGGCCACAAUGGGACUGAGAUACGGCCCAGACUCCUACGGGAGGCAGCAGUGGGGAAUAUUGCACAAUGGGCGGAAGCCUGAUGCAGCAACGCCGCGUGCGGGAUGACGGCCUUCGGGUUGUAAACCGCUUUCGCCUGUGACGAAGCGUGAGUGACGGUAAUGGGUAAAGAAGCACCGGCUAACUACGUG
rnacentral:rRNA from 1 species